UACGUAGGGUGCGAGCGUUAAUCGGAAUUACUGGGCGUAAAGCGUGCGCAGGCGGCUUUGCAAGACAGAUGUGAAAUCCCCGGGCUCAACCUGGGAACUGCAUUUGUGACUGCAAAGCUGGAGUACGGCAGAGGGGGAUGGAAUUCCGCGUGUAGCAGUGAAAUGCGUAGAUAUGCGGAGGAACACCGAUGGCGAAGGCAAUCCCCUGGGCCGUACUGACGCUCAUGCACGAAAGCGUGGGGAGCAAACAGG
rnacentral:rRNA from 1 species